rnacentral:rRNA from 1 species
CGUGCUUAACACAUGCAAGUCGAGCGGUAAGGCCCUUCGGGGUACACGAGCGGCGAACGGGUGAGUAACACGUGGGUGAUCUGCCCUGCACUUCGGGAUAAGCCUGGGAAACUGGGUCUAAUACCGGAUAUGACCUCCGAUCGCAUGGUUGGUGGUGGAAAGAUUUAUCGGUGCAGGAUGGGCCCGCGGCCUAUCAGCUUGUUGGUGGGGUAAUGGCCUACCAAGGCGACGACGGGUAGCCGACCUGAGAGGGUGACCGGCCACACUGGGACUGAGACACGGCCCAGACUCCUACGGGAGGCAGCAGUGGGGAAUAUUGCACAAUGGGCGAAAGCCUGAUGCAGCGACGCCGCGUGAGGGAUGAAGGCCUUCGGGUUGUAAACCUCUUUCAGCAGGGACGAAGCGCAAGUGACGGUACCUGCAGAAGAAGCACCGGCUAACUACGUGCCAGCAGCCGCGGUAAUACGUAGGGUGCAAGCGUUGUCCGGAAUUACUGGGCGUAAAGAGUUCGUAGGCGGUUUGUCGCGUCGUUUGUGAAAACCCGUAGCUCAACUACGGGCCUGCAGGCGAUACGGGCAGACUUGAGUACUGCAGGGGAGACUGGAAUUCCUGGUGUAGCGGUGAAAUGCGCAGAUAUCAGGAGGAACACCGGUGGCGAAGGCGGGUCUCUGGGCAGUAACUGACGCUGAGGAACGAAAGCGUGGGUAGCAAACAGGAUUAGAUACCCUGGUAGUCCACGCCGUAAACGGUGGGCGCUAGGUGUG